rnacentral:rRNA from 1 species
AGUGAACGCUGGCGGUAGGCCUAACACAUGCGAGUCGAACGGCAGCACAGUAAGAGCUUGCUCUUACGGGUGGCGAGUGGCGGACGGGUGAGGAAUACAUCGGAAUCUACUUUUUCGUGGGGGAUAACGUAGGGAAACUUACGCUAAUACCGCAUACGACCUACGGGUGAAAGCAGGGGAUCUUCGUACCUUGCGCGAUUGAAUGAGCCGAUGUCGGAUUAGCUAGUUGGCGGGGUAAAGGCCCACCAAGGCUACGAUCCGUAGCUGGUCUGAGAGGAUGAUCGGCCCCACUGGAACUGCGCCACGGUCCAGACUCCUACGGGAGGCAGCAGUGGGGAAUAUUGGACAAUGGGCGCAAGCCUGAUCCAGACAUCCCGCGUGGGUGAAGAAGGCCUUCGGGUUGUAAAGCCCUUUUGUUGGGAAAGAAAAGCAGCAGGUUAAUACCCCGCUGUUCUGACGGUACCCAAAGAAUAAGCACCGGCUAACUUCGUG